rnacentral:rRNA from 1 species
CAAUAGCGUAUAUUAAAGUUGUUGCAGUUAAAACGCUCGUAGUUGAACAUCUGCCUUUUUCCGGCUAGGUCCGCUUUGCGUGCACCUUCCGAAAUCGGCAUCCGUCUGCGCUGCUUCCGCAUUGCAGACCGUUCACUUUGAGGAAAUUAGAGUGUUCAAAGCAGGCUUACGCCUUGAAUACUUCAGCAUGGAAUGAUUGAUAGGACUUCUAUCCUAUCCUGGUUCUAGGGACAGAAGUAAUGGUAAACAGGGUCGGUUGGGGGCAUUCGUACUGAACAGUCAGAGGUGAAAUUCUUAGAUUUGUUCAAGACGAACAACUGCGAAAGCAUUUGCCAAGAAGGACGACCCCAUUAA